rnacentral:lncRNA from 1 species
GGAUUUCACUCUUCUUCAUACAGAGUGAGAAAGCUGAGAUAUCCAGAAGUCAAGAGGUCAGAAGAGAUUUCAUUAAUCUUCACUGGAAUGAGAAAACGCAAUUUUGGUAUUUGUGAGAACUUGGUCUUAAAAGGGAAAUCUGUAAUGGCAAAAACUAAACAAACACAUGCUAGAACAUUUUCAUCCUUCAUCCACUGAAAAGCU